rnacentral:lncRNA from 1 species
ACACCGCUCCUGGAGCGAUUGUUUCAAUGUUGCUUGCUCGGAAUGGCCCUCCUGAGCAAACAACAGACGGUGCUCAAAGUAACAACUGGACUUAAUAAAAGGAGCUUACACGAAGGAGGAGCUGAAGGCUGCUGUGGUCGUGUGCUGGGGGCUGCCCCAGCUCCAGCUGCAGGACCCCGGCCGUCUGCCUUCCGACUCCGGUGAUGAUUCUUCCUGCGGUCUGAUCAAGAUUCUAUGCAGUUAACUUUGUAUCCAAGGAUCUAUAGCCAAGAAAUUUGGAGCUCAGUUUCAAACAUGCCAGCAGUGUAAACCCUUGCCCUUGCUGAAAGAAAGAAAAAGAAAGAAAGAAAGAAAGAAAGAAAGAAAGAAAGAAAGAAAGAAAGAAAGAAAGAAAGAAAGAAAGAACAAACGAACCUCUGGAUGUUGCCAAAUAUCACCAUAUCACCUAUGGGGAAAAAAUCUCUUGAAACGUGGUCUCACUCUGUCACACAGAGUGGAAUGAAGUGGCAUGAUCUCAGCUCACUGCAACCUCUGCCUCCCUGGCUCAAGCAAUCCUCUCAUCUCAGCCUCUUGAGUAGCUGGGACUACAGGCACACACCACCACACCUGGCUAAUUUUUGUGUAUUUUGUAGAGACAGUUUUGCUACGUUGCUCAGGCUGGUCUGGAACUCCUGGACUCAAGCAGUUUACCUGCCUCAGCCUCCCACAAGUGCUGAGCCACUGUGCCUGGCCAAAAAAAACUUUCUCAAUUGAGGAAUAUUGCUCUAGACAAUAAGACUAGAUCUUAGAAUUCAUCUUUCUGCUUAUAGUGAUGGAUGGUUAUUUGACCUUGUUCAACAAAGACUACUUAUUUUGGUAGCAUUAUUACUAGUAAAAGGUACAUGAUUAGAACAUAGGAAAUGAAUUAUAUUUGUCAUUCAUGUCUGACUCUUUUAUUUAUAAGAAGUUUAUCUGUUUAUAAACAAAACAAACAAGAAGUUUUUCUAUUUGUAACAAAUACACGAGGUAAUAACCAAACGUAUUAUAACAUUACCACUGCAAGUAAUAGAGAGUAAAAACUAAGUAAGUUAGUAGCCUAAGAUCAAACCAAAAAUGUUGCCAAAGAGUUGUAGAUGUGAACAAGUUAUUGUUCAUUUAACGUUCUUCAGUAUUUCAUUUUCAGUAACAUUAAUUGUGUCAACAUUCACUACUUUUCAAAAACAUUCUAAAUUACUCUAUGAAUUACAUGUAUUUCCUUUAUGGCCUGCUGAUAGGGCUCAUUCCUUUUCAAUUUAACUCAAAACAAGUGAGGUUUAUACAAUUAAACAUACUUUAUAAACCUUGUCUGUGUGCCUAACUUUUGCAUAAAGGUGUAGGACAUUGCCCCUUUAUUCAGUUGUGUCUGAUUUCCAAAGAAAGACUACAAUUAGGUGAAAAAAAUCUUGUUGGUUGUAGAGGGUUUUCAGUAGAUGGAAUGGGUUUGAAGAAUAAGUAGGAAUCUGCAGGUAGAAAAGUAAUGGAAAUCAGGAUACCAUUUCCCCAAAUGUGGCAUCUCAGUAUUUGAGGACACAGCAGAAGUAGGAAAGUCACUCUCACCUUCCCCUCAAUUUUCUCCCCUAAAGCAGGCCAUAAAAUAAUUCUCUAAAUUUCCUCUACAGCAGGUCAUAAAACCCUCAUUCCAGAGGGUUCCUGCUAUACCCAGAGUAAAGGAAUGUCACACAGGGAUGCCAGUAAGAAUCUGGCAACAACCAGGCCUUGCUAAAUUGCCUCAGGUUAUUAACAUUAAGUCAUACUUUAUUGUCCUCUAGUAAUACUUCUGCACCAUUGUCCAUAAAAGUUCACAAAUUUCUCUGUUUCUUUGAGUCUGCAAUUUUGAAAGGUCCUAUGUCACAUAAAACCUAUGUGAUAUGGUUUGGUCUUGUGUCCCCUCCCAAAUCUCAUCUUGAAUUUUGUAAUCCUAUAUGUCAAGAGAGGAACCCUAGAAGAGGUUAUUGGAUCAUGGGGGCAGCUUCCCCCAUGCUGUUCUCAUGAUACUGAGUGAGUUCUCAUGAGAUCUGAUGGUUUUAUAAGUAAGUGUCUCGCCUUUCCCCCCACUCCUCUCUCCUGCCGCCCUGUGAAGAAGGUCCUUGUUUCCCUUUCACCUUCUGCCAUGAUUGUAAGUUUCCUGAGGCCUCCCCAGGCAUGUGGAACUGUAAGUCAAUGAAACCUCUUUGCUUAAUGAAUUACCCAGUCUUUGGUAUUUAUGGUAGUAUGAGGACAGACUAAUACACUAUGUUAAAUACAUUUGUAUUUUUUCUCUUGUUAAUCUCUCUUUCGUUAUAGGAUUCUCAGCCAUGAACCAAGAAAUGGAUGAGAAAAAGUAUCAUUUCUUCUUUUCAAAACAAGGCAGUAGGAAGGUACCACAGGUUGACACCAGAAAGCAAAUCAAUUUUUGCUACCAGAAACUCAACAGUACAGAAUAUUUAAAUUCUGGCUUAAGGUUCUUGUUGCUUUGGGACUGGUAAAUUACCUUUUUUGUUGACUAGAAGAGGUUCACUAUCUAUGCUUUAAGUAACUUUUUUGUAGGCACAAAGAGCAGUAUUUAUGGACCUGAGUCACAAUAUCAUCGUAGUAAACUUAUUCUAUCAGAAUUUCUGCUGAUUUAACUAUAGCAUAACAUUGAAUAUGAUGAAGGUAAAAAUUAAAUUAAGAAAAGAAGCCCUUUCCUCUCUACAGUGAAACAGGUCUAAGUCAUGCUAUUUUCUUAUAACUCAAUAUUUGGAUGAGACAUAUUUGAAAACUAUCCAAACUAUAUACUCCUAACAUUUUUGAAAAGCUAAAACUAUUCUAUAAUAAAAUGCUUAUUUUCUUAAAGAUUUCACAAGCAGAAAAAAAUAGCCUGAACAAAAGAAGGUCAGCAGGGGAGGAUUGUUAGGCAAAGCCAGGCAGUGAACCAUUGGAAAAGGAUUGAGUUUCCUAUAUUUUUGCAAUUGCAGAUCUCUAACCUUAGCCCCUCCGUGAUCCUUUUCUUACUAUUUGCACCCUUGCUCCCACUUCCUACUAUUACUAAUUAGCCUGUUUUAUGUGAAUUUCAGCAUGCAAUAUUUCAUAUUUAAUAACCCUGCAUCAGAAGAAAUGGGAAGUCAAAGAAGCUGGAAUUUAUUUCCAGGUGUUCUGGAAAGCACCAGGGGGCAUUUAUAGGGAACCCACAAAAUUCCUCAAUACCCUGAGGAGUCCACAACCCACACUUUCAAGAAUCCAAUAAGUUUCAGCUGAGAAUACUAUAAAUACCACAGAAUAAGAGCCAUACCCUGAUCAAGCUCAUUCACUGGUUAGUCAGGAGACAGGAAGUUGAAGUUCAGGGGUAGCCGUAAUUGGCCUUUGCAUUUAGCACCUUGUUAACAUAAAUGGAGUAAGUUCACACCUCUAAUCUUUCAUUACUAAUGUCACCUACUAGUAUCUGAACUCAAUAAGAUGAGGUUGGCUUGCUGGCAACGCCGCUUAUUUUUCUGAACAGGAGGAAAGGGAUUUAAAUGUUUCAACUGAGAGACAUGGAAUCUGACAUAGGAGGUAUCUUAAGUCUUUGAGGCAGCUUCCAAAGCUAGAGGUUAAAGUCUUAAGGUCACUAAGGUUGUCACUCAGAGUACCCAUGAUUUCAGUCUCAUCUUGUUUUAUAUAUAGCUUUUCUUAUUUUCUCUUUUCUUAUGUCAGAUCCUAGAGCCAAAUUGAUUACUGUGAUUCAUCCAGAUAGAUUACCCUCCUCUCUCCUUUAUUCACAAUGUACCUAUCCUCUCAAUGCCAUUUCCUCCUGUUAUCAAAAGUCUACUUCCCAUUAUCCCUUUAAACUCCUGUUCAAAUUCAUCCUCUUUCAAAAAGUCUAAAGAAUUUAAAUUUUAAUUUAUUCUUAAAGUCUUCUUUACUUCUUCAAAUGCCACUGUUUAUUCCUGUCUAUGAUUGCUAUCUUUAUUAUCACAAAAUUUGACAACUUGUUAUAUGUGACCUUGUGUCUUAACAUUUGUCAUGUAUUCUUCCUUAGCAAAAUAUCAAGCUUUUUGCAGACAACUAUCUCAAACUUCUCUAUUCUAACAGUGCCUAAGACAGUGCCAGUGUUAGUUAUGGCACUGUCAAAAAGAAAGUCACCUUUUGUAAAGCUUGCUGUUGGGAGAUUGCUUACUUUGGCUGAUAGACAUUAGGAUAGUGAUUAUAAGUUAAGAUUGUUUAAGCCAGAUAAAGAGAGAUAAGCCUCUCUUUAAAAAUGCCAGAGUUGGGGACAUUAAAAAGGCAGUGGAAGGGUUAUCUGAAAAGAGAUGAGCAAGAACUUCAGGACUGAGAGAGCAGAAUAAGGCUGAUUAAACAGAAUUUCAUUUCCUCAGCUCAGAACCCAAUAAAUAUAUAUUUAUUUAAUUAUACAUAUUAAAUAAUAUAUAUAUUAUAUAAAAAUAAUAUAUAUAAUAUAUAAUAUAUAAAUAAUAUAUAUAUUAUAUAAAAAUAAUAUAUAUAAUAUAUAAUAUAUAAAUAAUAAAUUAUAUAUAUUAUAUAUAUAAAAUAAAUGUAGAAAAUUUAUUUCUACAGCAACAAAACACAGGAAAUAGAAUCACCUAGUUUCUAAUGAUUCAGAAGUUGGAGGUCACAUAAUGAAUUAUUUAGGUAGUAGCUUAAAAUGUCUAUACACCUUGACAUUGCUUUCACCUUAGAAGCCUUACUAACAAGCUUACAAAUCUGGAGAUUUUUUUUUACCAUCUCCCUAACAUUUUGAAAGAAACAAACUAAGUGGGUAUUCUUAAAUUCCAUUAUCACUGGUAAGUAGUAGAUAGAGUUGCUAAAAUACCUACUAAAAGAAGGAAACCCAGGGCUCCAGAGGCACCCUGAAAUUGGAUAGUCGUAAGUAUGCCGUGAGAAUGGAUUAUAUUUCACAACUAGGAGAAAUGAAACUUGAUAAAGAACCCUUAAUCAAACAUAAAGCAGCAACAAAAGUUGAAAGGAUAUAUCGAAAACCUAACGAAGAAAACAACAUUAUUACCAAAUUAAUAAAUAAGUUGGAAUCAGCAAGGGACCAAACACAGCCAGCUGAAAAAUCAAAUUACAACAGAAAAAAAAAAGGCUUGAGACAAGCAACAAUAAUGCAGGCAAGAAAAGCAAAUUAUAUUAAACCGAUCAGACAGGUGAUAGGAAAAAUUGAUAUACUUGAAACAGAGAAAAAAAUAAAAAGCAACCAAAGAACAUUUUCUUAAAAUGAACAUAGAACUAAGUUGGCAGAUAUUAAGAAUAGACAAUAUUUGAGUAAAAUGUGAUAUAGAACAAUCAUCACCAAUUAUUAUGUUUAAGUUAUAGAAUUUUAAGUGCAAAGAACAUUUUAUUUAAGCAUUCAGGCAGCAAAAACAAGUUAGUCAUAUAAUGCAUAGAUAGAGAUAAGUAGUUAUAACCCAUAGGAAGAUAUAACCAGACUGGCUUCAGACCACUCUUCAUAGAAACCUUCAAUGCUGAAAGACAAUGGGUCUUUGCUUAUAAAUAUCUGAGGAGAAUAAAUGUGUGUAAUAAUGUAUGUUUCAAAACAUCAUGUUGUAUACCACAAGUAUACACAAUUUUUGUCAACUAUAAAUGACUAAAUAAAAGUUGGACAGAAGUAAUUUUAUUCAUAUAUUAAAUCAGUGGUUAUGCAUGCCUUUAUUUUUCAUUUAUGUUAUUAGCAACUGUAAGAUAUAAAAGUUGAGUGAUUAUUGUAAGUGGCAUAACACUUUAUAUACACAAAUAUUUAUAGACAUUUUGACAUAAACUGUGAGGUGUAAGUUUUAAUUAUUAGGUAACUUUUAAUUAUUUAAGGGAGAUAAGUAUUGGCAUAUUUGGGUGGUCUGACAGUUUUUAUAGUGGUGGCUGUUGAAUGCAAUGAAGGAUGAGUGGAACAAGGAAAUGUGAUGGAGAGGAGACAGUUCAAGCAGCAGGAAUAGGAUAAGCAAAGGCAUGAAAAUGGAAGUUGUCUGGUCCAUUCUGGGUAGUGAAACUCAGGUCAUGAUGGCAUGGUUGGCAGACAUGGGUGAAGGUAACAAUAGAAUAGUGGGUUGACACGCAUUUAUGAAACGCCUUGUACACCUCUUAUAUUUUAUGCAUGAACUAGCAUGAAACCACAGAAGCUUUUAGAAAUAGAAGUGCCUUUUAGGGUAUCUAGUUUCUAACCCACCACCUAAAAAGAUUAAUAUAGGAACAGCUUCUGUAUUAUCUUACAUACUUUAAUUCAGAUGCAUUCAUUAUCUUUUAUUCUUUUAAGAGAAAAGAAAUGCAUGACUUUCAAAGGAUAUCCUGACAUAAUUUUUUGAACAGCUACACAUGUAUUAAAUAUGUAGCACGUGUAAGACCCUGUUCUUGGAACAGGAUCAUUUCUGAAUUUAUAGUACUAUAUUAUAAUCACUAAUGUUUAGCUGGAUAACCUGAAGUUUUGUCAGUAAAAAUACUAUCAGGAUUAGUAACAUAAGGGAAUCAAUUCAUUGAUCUAAACAGGUUCUUAAAAUGGUUAGAAAAUAUAAGGCUUUGUCUUAGAAAUCAAGAAAAUUCAAUUUUGCCAAACAUUAUGUUCCCUAAGUAUUCUGCUUUUCUGAAUUCUACUCUAGUGAGUAAAGCACUGUGAAAGACUGGCUCUUUUUUUAUCGCCAUGGCUGAGAAUAUCAGCUGUGUUAAUCAUUUUCAAAUUCUUACCCCCUGUAGAAAUGGACAAUUUCUUUUUUCCUCAAUGACCUGAUAGCUAGUUUCUUGUGUAGAAAAGAACAUUGAUUAUACCUCAGGACGUAAUUAUUAGCUGUAUAAUCUUGGCUAUGAGAGUCAGCCUCUGGGACUGUAAGUUUCCUUACCUGUAAACAGGAAGAAUACUAAGUAGUGGCCACGGUUAUGGUAAACAUUAAGUGAGUUAAUAUAUAGAAAGGAUCUACAAAGUCAUACUGUAUGUGCACAAUAAAUAUUAAUCAGCUACAUUUCUCCUUCUUUUGUCAAUGGUGUGGAAUCAAGAAACCAGAUAUUUUUAUGAUUUAAAUUCAUAGUAUUAGCUUGUACAGACACUUAAGCAAUUAAAGCCCUUGACUAUAAUACAUCUCUUAUGUUUCUUCCAGGACUGAAACCUGUGAGAUAAAUAUUGUGUAAAGUUGUUUUCAAGAGCAGUUAUAGGGUGCAGGGGAGUGAAAGCAUUUAGCAUUGCUACCCAAAUGGUUAUAAAAUCUGGUCUGUACAAUGCCUGAGAAGUAACUCAUUGCUUCACAAAGAGUCAGGGAAGCGCAGGCACUAAGAAGAGCAUAACUAUUGUACACAGACAACUUUUACUCUUAUUUUUGCCUAUUUUACUCUGAAGGAUAUUGUUCACAGACGGCAAAUUCACACACCCGAAUGAAACUCCUAUGAGACCCACAUGCACGGAUUUAUUCAGGUCAGUCUGAUCACUGGCUGAAACUUGUGCAUCCCAAAUGCUAUAAUUUAUGUUUUUUUGGAGAGAAUUAUUUUGGAAAAGUUCUCAUCCAGAAGCUGAUUAUGAAAUAGCUGGCCAGGUGCAGUGGCUCAUGCCUGUAAUCCCAGCACUUUGGGAGGCCGAGCCAGGCGGAUUACCUGAGAUCGGGAGUUCGAGACCAGUCUGGCCAACAUCGUGAAACCCCAUCUCUACUAAAAAUACAAAAAAAUUAUCCAGGUGUGGAGGCGUGCACCUGUAAUCCCAGCUACUCGGUAGGCUGAGGCACGAGAGUCGCUUGAACCCAGGAGGCCAGAGGUUGCAGUGAGCCGAGCUCAUGCCUCUGUACUCUAGCCUGGGCAACAGAGCAAGACUCAGUCUCAAAAAAAUUAAAAAAAAAGAAAUGGCAGGACUUUGAUUUUCCAUUUACAGUUCUUCCUUUCUGUGAAGAGCCUGGAAAGUGACAGGCCAGAAGUGAAAUGGCAGGCAGUAAGAAAUGAGUUUCAUUGUCAUUCUGAAUUUUCUCAAACCUCUUCAUCAUUUAGGAUAACUGGUAACAUUUUAUGAUUUUGGAGAAUAAGUUAAAUAGUAUUUCUCUUUGAUAAAUUAUUACUGAUUUAACCAAUGGAAAACUUGAAAGAACUUCAGCACACAUAGGUUAAACAAAUUACGAACUGUGGCCCACAUAUGUGAAUACUGAUUUUAAAUUUCAGCUGGGCUACAUUUUACAGGCGUUAAGAAACAAUCAUACUAGAAGAAUAACAAAUAGUGUAGAAGACUGCAUAAAUUGUAUGCUUUUUAUUUAGUUAGGUUUUCUGGCAUUCCUGCAGAAUAUGGUUCUUAUGAAAGAUCAUUUAUUUCUUCAUUAGGUGGUAUUGGAAUCCAUUUAAGCAGAGGUGAUAUGGAUCCAGACUCCACUGAAUGGCCACACUGAUUUAAGUGUCUUGGUCUUAAGUGGAGGCUACUCAAAAUAAAGACCAAGUAUGAAAAUAUUCCAGAUGGAAAUACUACUAUGUUAGAGGGCACAGACAAUGGAACCAAAUGACCUGAGUUGGUAGCCCGAAUUGGAAAACCAUCUAGCACCAAAUAAACUCUCAAUACAUACUAAUCAUCUGUUAUUAUUACUGAAGAGCUGUGAAGCCUAAUGCAAACUUCCAGGUUUGCUUCAUUAAGAACCUGGUGAAAAACUACAGACAGAUAUAAUUAAGAAUAGCUCCCUAAUGAUAACUAAAUAUCUCUUUUUUAUUGUGUAGCCAUUCCUCAGGUUCUUUUCAAGUUAUCCUGUUUUUGCUUUCAGAAUCAUUUAGUUUGAAUGCCACUUCCUUGUUCAAGACCUUAUUACUAUUCUCAGAAUUCUUACUGUCUGCAGUUAAAAUCCAGAGCCAAAACUGAACACCAGAAUAUUCCCAAGGACUAAAUAUUUAUCCCUCAGAAGGAGUGCUCUCACUAAUAUACUCUAGAACUUGGGUGGGUGGGAGUAGGGGGAAUUCCAUCAGUGGAUUAUUUUAUAAAUAAAGUUUAUUGAUACAGUCACAUCCAUUAUUCAUUUGUGUUGUAUCUGUGGCUAUUUUCACACCACAAUGGCAGCAUUAAGUAGCUGCAAAACAGAAUAUAUGGCCAAUAAAACCUAAGAUGUUUGUUAUUUGGCCUUCUACAAAACAAUUUUGCCAGCUCCUGCUUUAGAAAUUUCUGUCCUCACUAAAACCUGUAUCAUAGCAGUUGACAUCAUAUUCCCAUUUAAGAAUUUUCAAUUUCAAUGAAACAUGUUAUAUACUUAAUUGUAUACUCAAAUUUGUAUUAGUUUCAUAAUUUGAUAGUUAAAGUAUUUUGGCUUUAUGUUUGCAUAAGAACUAUAAACAUAAGGAGUUUAUGUGUUUUUGUUUGAAAUUAAAGUAUUAUAAGUAAUUUAAGUAUGUAUUAAAGGUCUAGGAGCAUUUGAUUUUCUUUAACAAAGUCCUUUUCUCUUAAGUUUGAAAAAUCUUUCACUAGAUAAUUAAUUAAAAAUUCUGACCUACAUGGCUGUAAGCUGGCACUGGGCUUCAUGAGCCUUCUCUGGGCUUCAUCUGUACUCUGGAUCUAUAGCAGCUACUCAGACUCUUUGACAUUAAGAACUUGUUUUUUUUCACCCCAUAUAUCUAAUUAAUACUCUUUUAAAAAUCAAUAAAAUAAUUAUUGAAAUAUGAUCAUGAACUUGGAUGUGCAAUUAUGUCAAAUAGCUACAAAAUUUACUGAAUGUACAUUCUCAAUUUCUGUACUCAUCUCAUGGAAUAUCAGAAACAACAAGAAGUGGGUGAACACCAGCUAAUGGACCAUGGUAGCACUGGACUGCAGUAUGCAUAUGGGAUAUGGAAGCCAUUGAAAAGGGAAAAGGGGAAGGGAUUGUCUCUAAAUUUAAGGAUCAUCUGGAUUUCUAAAGUAAGCUUAGAAAUGAGUAAAUUUCUCCCCAUUCUUUGUAGAAAAUCUUUAGGACCCUUAAAUCUACUUUGCAUAAUGUCUACAUUUGGACACUGAGGACCAUGACUUUUUGGAAACACAUUUGAAAGUAUAUCCACUGUCCACUGUGUUCAUUUAUUAAUCAUAAAUGUAGCAAAUAUUGAACAGAUAAGAUGUUCCAAAAACUUCUAGUUACUGAAGAUAGAGCCUUGAGCAAGACAAAAAUCCCUGCUCUCAUAUGGUAUAUAUCAUAGUAAGGGAAAUUGGAAAAUGAACAAACAAAUACAUCAGCAAGAAAAAACUGAGAAUAACAAUUGGUGUUAUGCAGGGAAUUAAAACAAUGUGAUUUGAUACAUCUUGACAGGGUGUCUGCUUUCAUUUGGGUAGCUAGCCAAGCCCUCACUAAAAAGCUGCCCUUUAGGCUGAAAUGUGAAUGAUAAGAAGGAAGUGGCCAUGAUUAGGGAAAAAUAAUUCACAAAGAAAAAAACAGGAAGUGAAAAGUUCUCAAUGAGAUCAUGACUUUGGCGAGUCAGAGUGAAGAAACAAGGCUUUGUGGCUGAAUUGUCAUAGGUGACAAGGAACACGAUAAAAGGUAAAAUCAUAGAGGUCGCCGGGCGCAGUGGCUCACACCUGUAAUCCCUUUGUAAGCCCUUUGGGAGGCUGAGGCAGGGGGAUCACCUGAGGUCAGGAGUUUGAGACCAGCCUGGCCAACAUGGUGAAACCCUGUCUCUACUGAAAGUACAAAAAUUAGCUUGGUGUGGUGGCAUGCCCCCUGUAGUCCCAGCAACUCUGGAGGUUGACGCAGGAAAAUCGCUUGAACCAGGGAGGUGGAGGCAGAGGUUGCAGUGAGCCGAGAUAGUGCCACUGCACUCCAGCCUGGGCAACAGAGUGAGAUGCUGUCUCAAAAAAAAAAAAAAAAAUCAUAGAGGUAAUCUGGGGACAGGUAAUAUAGAUUAAAGUCCAAAACCAGGCCAGAGUAGGAAUGCUUUUACUGAAAUGCCCUGCCAAAAAGCAAAUUAAAUAUGCCUAUCUUUUAGCAACACUAGAGUGUAGAGCAAAAACCAUGCUCUGUUGUAAACAAUCACAUGUAUUUGGGAUAUCUGCAUCUUCACGUACUAGCUAUCAGAUUUAAGUUGCUUAAUUUCUCUGAAUCCUAAUGUCCUUAACAUAUAACGGGAAAGGAAGGUGUAAUUUUUAGAUUGUAGUGAGAAUUAGAGAAAAUAAAGCUAAAAUAUUUUAUUAAUUAGUUUUGUAUAUAGUUAAUUGUCUUAUUUUGGGGUUGUCUUCAAGUGAUGACUUAUAUUCAGGUAGAGCUGAUAGGAUGAUCUCAGCAUGGGAUCUCAUCGACAGUGAUGUUGACUUGGGAGAAUCAUCUUUCCCAUCACUACACUCUCCUCCUUAGAAAAAGAUCUUUAUUCUUUAUUCCACCAACCAAGGAACAGCCCAAACAGACAGACUAUUCAUAUGCAUUCCAGAUCAGUAAUGUGAAGCAUAAGAGGGAGGAACUCUAAAUUUAAAAGUGGAAUAACACUCUUAUUCCCUCCAAUUGCUAAAAUCGCAGAGAGGAACAAUAUUUUAUCCAAAUUGUCUGGCUUUCAUUGUACAUAUUAGAGCCAGACAUGUAGUAAACCAGAUGUAAUUUGAGACUUGUGGAAUUUAUUUCUCAGCCAAGCAAGAAGCUGAAUUAAUAGAUUUUUACUUUUACUUUUGUUGAAAUGAGAAAGCUAAAGAGUUUCCAGCAUAUUCCUACCAGAUGGCCUGCUUCAUUGCAUGCAAUUUUGCUCCCUGCAACUUGGUCUCCUCAAAGGUGAAGAGGAAAAAUAUGUAUCUGCCUAUUUGUAUGGUAAUCAAAGUAGAAGAGAUAGGAAAGAUCAAUCUGCCCACCUCCAGCUGUGGUUCACCUUAACCUAACUGUGCAUUUAUUUAGGACUCUGGUGAGAUAAGACAUGUCUUCCUAAAAGCAGGGAGAAUUAUUCAAUUUUGGUAUGACAAAUAAAGUGAAUUCAUGUUUGAUGUUUAAUAACCUAAAUAUGCGAGAAUGUCCUGAUAUUUAUGAGGUCUCUAGGUGAUGAUAGAAAAGAAGGGCUGACUUUAUUGAUCAAAACCAACUGAGCACGUCUACCACUUGAAAGUCAUUGUUUAAACCAUAAGCAUCAAUUUGUUACUUAUAUUUUCAUAUGAGAUUGCUAAAAUUCUUUGGUGGGUCACAGAAAGUGUUAUAAAUAACAGUAGAAUCAGAAAAGAGUUUUACUGAUAAUUAUAUUUAGGUCAUUUUAGAUUAAAAUCUUACAUUUUACAGUUAAGUGAUCCAGAGAAGUGAGAAAUGUAACAGCAAGUAAGAAUAAGUGAAUGUUUAUACAGUGAUUUGAAGCUGAAUUCUAAGCUCUCCCUAAUAACUGAUCAUUACAAGUAGCAUAUUUCUGAUAAUCUUUACAAAACCUAUCCGUAAAUAUGAUAAGGGAUAGUUUAAAAAAUACCUAGUAAUCUUUCAGGAUGGCACUACUCUGUUAAUCCCAUAAUUGGCCCAUUUUUAUAUUGGUUUGUUGGGAAAGCAAGUGACCAUGCACCAGUGUAGAAACUAACAUCAGUGAAGUAGAGCCAGUACUUUUGCAGGUUUCUACCUGUUCUCACAUUGCUGAUUAAAAUGGCGAGAGACCAUCCUUAAUUUAUUUUACUUUGCCCUCAAGUGGGCAAAGAUGUCAGCUUCAAGGAGGAAGUGCUGAUUGCAUAAAUUUUUAAACAUAAUAUUUGGCCCAGCGCUUUAUAAAUCAUAUCCACAUACAUCAUCUCUUUUAAGCUCCAUAAUAUCUCUUCCCAUUUCAGGUCACUAUGUUAAAAACUAUGGAAAAUAUUUAUUGUUGCUCCUUGGGUUAUCUGAUUGACUCUGGCUGUGAUAGGACAGAAAAUAUGUAUUUUGAAUCCUUUACAGCCAGGGUGGAGGAUGUCCACCUAGAAUGAUCUUCCCCCACUAAUACAUAAAAUAGGAGGCAAUCAUGCCACAAAAAAAUACAUAGACUUAAGUCAGAAUAACAGGGUGGAUUCUAGGAAGUAAAAAAAUAAAAUAAAAUAAAAUCACAUUUCUCCUCUGCAAGGCAAAAAUGAGAUUCAAACCUUUGACUCGUUAACAUUGUGCCUUGACUAUUUUUAUCCCUCCAUACAUCCCCCCUUUCCCUAACAUGAAAUAUUUUCCUCCAAGAGUUAGAUCCUCUGAACUUGGCAUCUUCAUAUGAAUAUUUCCAUAUAUUUCUUCUAUUUUAUGUAACUUUAGAAACUCAUUGCAGGCCCUCAUUUGCUAUACUGAAAAUGCCACAUUUAUCAAGUGAGUCAGUUGUGUGUUCUCUUAUUGUUAUAUAAUAUUAACCCUGAAUAUAAUUUUAAUAAGUUCUCCAGUCUUUCCAGAAUGCCUUAUCAUAUCUGCCAGUUAUCCAGGGAAUUCAUUCUGGAGCAGUGUUAUAUUAGCAAUACUAAAACUGGGCUGCAGCAUAGAUGGGAAUGGUAAUGAGUACAAAUUAGUGAGAAAGAAUGGAUAAGACCUACUAUUUCAUAGCAAAAUAAGUUGACUAUAGUCAAUAAUAACUUAAUUUUACAUUUUAAAAUAAUUUAUAGUGUAAUUGGAUUGUUUGUAACUCAAAGUAUAAAUGCUUGAGAGGAUGAAUAUCUCAUUCUCGAUGUGCUUAUUUCAUAUUGCAUGCCUGUAUCAAAACAUCUUAUGUAUCCCCAUAUAGAUACACCUACUAUAUACCCAUGAAAAUUUGAAAAAUAAAAUUAAAUUGUAUGUUUUUUGUUUUUUGGGUGGAAAGUGAUUCAAGGAUUACUUAAAAAAAUUACAGUUGAGAUUCACUUGUUCCAGUAAUUUCUUAAUACUCAAGACAUUAAAUUAAAGAUCAUUUCUAUUUAUUUUGUGCUAUGGGAGCAACUGUAAUUUGUGGCAAUGAGGAUUUUUAGUUUAUAGCACAUGAGGGGGGAAAAAGUGUUAGCUGUUCAACUGCCUAGGAAAAGGAAAUGUAGUGAUUUAUAGCUUGAGGGGAAUUUACUGGUGUCAUCGAAUACAACUCCUUCUGUUAUAAAUUAAAAAAUAAAGUCAUGUCCUGCACUAGCCCUGUAUUUAUUUUACCUUGUGGUCUAUAAAUAAACUCUAUAAAGGCAAAGUGAUAAAACUUUUAAAGUGCUCUUUUCUUUUUGACAUAGAUCUUGAUUUCCUCUUACUGGCCAACUGAAGGCAGAAAAUACUGAACUAUAUGUUUAUCCAAUUGCACUCUUUAAUCAAGAACUCCAACCAUUCCUUUCCCCACAAUUCCUCCCGGCCCUCGUACUGCCCACUCAGUGCACUCUGCAUCCAGGUCAAGGCUCCUCACCUGAACUUUGACUGUUUACUUCUCUGGCCCAUGGCAAGAGUAACAAGUAUCCUCACUUGAACAAAACUACAAUAAAAUAAAAUGUUAUAAAAUAGAAAAAAUAUAUUAGUUUUUCAGUAGAUAAGAAGCACCAAAUCUGUUGUAUAUCAAAUACGAUGGAAGACACCCUAUGAAAUAUUUUGAAUAAUCCACCCUGUUCUAGAAUUGUGCAAUAGCAUUUCCUUCUUUUGGCUUUCUCAAUUAACAGACGGAAAAUCUCUUACUCGCCCACAUGCUUGGCUAUUAAACUUUCAAUACACUGCCAAAAAAUUCUUGUCAAACAAAUAACCAGACAUACCGCAGAAAGCAAGUUCUAGAAUGAUGAAGUGAAAUCUAAUCAUGCUAACAGGUAUAAUGUUAGAAUUAUAACAUUGAAAGUUUUUGUGUGUGAAAUAUUCCAUGCUUAGCAACCCUUAAGUAGUUUAAGAGUUAUUUAAAUAUUUUUCCUGAAUCUGAAUCACAUCUUAUAAAAUUCCAGGGACUUUCAUUCACUUCCUCGAAUAUACACCCUCAUGAACAAAUGACAUAACUUGAUUUGAUUGGAAUUCCUUUAAACUCUUGUGGAAAAGGAGAGGACUUCUUUUUCUUCUUCUUGCUUUUGACUUUUCUUUCUUCAUUUUUUUAAG